CUACGGGAGGCACCAGUGAGGAAUAUUGGUCAAUGGGCGCAAGCCUGAACCAGCCAAGUAGCGUGAAGGAAGACUGCCCUAUGGGUUGUAAACUUCUUUUGUAUGGGGGUAAAGUGAGAUACGUGUAUCUUAUUGCAAGUACCAUACGAAUAAGGAUCGGCUAACUCCGUGCCAGCAGCCGCGGUAAUACGGAGGAUUCGAGCGUUAUCCGGAUUUAUUGGGUUUAAAGGGAGCGCAGGCGGGAUGAUAAGUCAGUUGUGAAAGUUUGCGGCUCAACCGUAAAAUUGCAGUUGAAACUGUCGUUCUUGAGUGUGGUGAAAGUAAGCGGAAUUUGUGGUGUAGCGGUGAAAUGCAUAGAUAUCACGAAGAACUCCAAUUGCGAAGGCAGCUUACUGUACCACUACUGACGCUGAGGCUCGAAAGUGUGGGUAUCAAACAGGAUUAGAUACCCCGGUAGUC
rnacentral:rRNA from 1 species